CAUUUCCUUUCUCAUUUUCUUCGUUCAUUCCGUCGGAAGCAGAGAUGGGUGAUGAGGAGGCAAACCCUAGAUCUAUUCUCAACUGAUAUCUUCUUCACCUCUCUCAACAAAUCGAGUAAUUUCUAUCUCAAUCAUCACUCUCGUCUCAUCUUUCCAUCUCUUUCAAAUCAUUUAAAAGCUUCUUUUAGAAGGUUUUAUGUUUUUUACUCUCUCUCUCUUUCAUGUCUUCUCGAUCUGCUCUGAAGAAGAGUUUCUGUUCUGAAGAAAUCCAACCAGCUGAAAGCAUCAAUCUGGGUUUUUAGGUCAUCUGUGAGAUUCAGAAGCAUCGAUCUGAUAAUCAG